GGGGGCGUACUGGUUUCGACGGGGAUGCGGAGAUCGGAAUAGCGGGCGGAUGCGCCUGUCAUCCUAAAAACGGGCAAUUAUAAAUCAAAGAACAACGAAGAUACUGUUCUUCUCGCUGCCUAAGCAGUGAGCGUCCCCGCCGGGAGGGCCGCGGCCCGGCUGCGGGGCGUCGAUCAGCGGCGAACGUGAGUGCGCAAAGCUUUGAGCGCACCAUGCACAAUGAAGCUACCGAGCCUUUGAGUGUGAGCGUCCACGCCUGGGUAAGGGAAAGCAAAUGACUCUCUGCGCCCGGAGAGGUUCCGAAGGAAGCAUUUUCGGACGGGGGUUCGAUUCCCCCCGCCUCCACCA
rnacentral:tmRNA from 1 species